CUUCAGUGAUGAGCCGAUGACGAGUCGGAACAUGUCUCGGACUUGUUCUGGUGGUUACUGGUUCAAAUCCACGUUCUGUGGUUCUGUGCCAGUUUCUCAGAGCAGGAUGUCCUUUUCAGUUGAAGACAUUGAGGCAUUUGUCUGAGAAGG
rnacentral:snoRNA from 1 species